rnacentral:tRNA from 1 species
GAAAACAAGCUCAUCGGUAGAGCUGGGGGCUGACCGCCCCCGAAACACGCCGCCUAAAGGUUGAGUGCCUUCGGACUAAGCGGAAAAUGUGUAGGCGCGCUCAUGCGUCGGGCGAAGGUUCGAGUCCUUCGGUUUUCA